UAUACAUUUCUUAGAUAAAAGUCUAAGUGAGCAUCAUUAGGAAAGUCUUUUCUCGUUGUCCAGAGUUAGUCAGGACCUCCCGAAGGUUACUGAUUCGGCGCGCUGUUUUGUGUGUGUGUGUGUCACUACAGAUGUAAGCAGGUGACACAGCUGCACUUCUGGUGGACCAGGUGUUGGUAGGUGGCCAGUUGCAACUGUUGUGAACCAGGACAGAUGUUGGUGGAUCCCAAGCACUUGUGGUAGACCAGAACAGGUGUUGGUGGGUCCCCAGCACUUGUGGUGGAUCAAGACAGGUGUUGGUGGUUCCGCAGUAUUUGUGGUGGUCCGGACAGGUGUUGGUGGGUCCCCAGCACUUGUGGUGGACCAGGACAGGUGUUGGUGGGUCCCCAGCAUGUGUGGUAGACCAGGACAGGUGUUGGUGGGUCCCCAGCACUUGUGGUGGACCGGACAGGUGUUGGUGGGUCCCCAGCACUUGUGGUGGACCGGACAGGUGUUGGUGGGUCCCCAGCACUUGUGGUGGACCGGACAGGUGUUGGUGGGUCCAGCAGGCGCAUCACAGCUUCGUCAGGAGGUCCUCGCCAUGUGUCGGAAGGUGAGGCCAGGCGUCACUGAGGUAGGAAUGUGUCCUGCCCCCGGAGAGGGCCCAACGAGCCA